rnacentral:lncRNA from 1 species
AUUGGGGCCGCGAGCAUCGAAAAAAAGAAGAAUGUGAAAUGAGAUUAACAGAAAUUGUUUUAUUUUUUUUUAUUCUUUCCCCGAAAAAUUAAAAAUAUCUGCGUAUAAAUUAAACUUUGCGGCUUACUUCCGUUGCCUAGCGACAGGCGAACCGGCGAAUGACGAGCCAGAUGUUUGCAUCAUUCGUCAGACAAACCGCCGAAGCGAGAGAGACCGGCCGCGCAUCUGAGCGUUGGACUGUUCGGGCACCUGUCUGCAUGGUUUGGUGACCUCCCGGCGAAUUAUUGCGUUCAUUCGGAACUUCGACAUGGCAGCACUGCACUAUUGGACUACGGCAAGCUCACGUCGUCUGGUGGAGCUUCCUGCGGAAACUACUGCUGCUUACCUGGUGCCACAAAGUUGGAUGAAUGCACAAAAAGCCCGCGACGAGCAUUUACAAAGAAUAAAAUAAACGUUAAUUUUUCC